AGAGUUUGAUCCUGGCUCAGAACAAACGCUGGCGGUAUGCUUAACACAUGCAAGUCGAACGAGAAAGAGGGCUUCGGCUCUUGAGUAAAGUGGCGAACGGGUGAGUAACGCGUGAGCAAGCUACCUCGGAGAGGGGGAUAACACUUUGAAAAGGGUGCUAAUACCCCAUAACAUUAGUUAUACGCAUGUAUAAUUAAUCAAAGGGAUGCUUUCGGGCAAAUGCUUUGGGAUGUGCUCGCGUACCGUUAGCUAGUUGGUGGGGUAAAGGCCUACCAAGGCGGUGAUGGUUAGCCGGCCUGAGAGGGUGUACGGUCACACUGGGACUGAGAUACGGCCCAGACUCCUACGGGAGGCAGCAGUGGGGAAUAUUGCGCAAUGGGGGCAACCCUGACGCAGCAAUACCGCGUGAGCGAUGAAGGCCUUUGGGUCGUAAAGCUCUGUUAGGUGGGAAGAAGUGUAAUACGAUUAAGAGUCGUAUUAUUUGACGGUACCACCAGAGGAAGCCCCGGCUAACUCCGUGCCAGCAGCCGCGGUAAUACGGAGGGGGCUAGCGUUGUUCGGAAUUACUGGGCGUAAAGGGCGCGUAGGCGGUCAUACAAGUUAGGUGUGAAAGGUCAUGGCUUAACCAUGGACAGGAACUUAAAACUGUAUGGCUUGAGUAUAGGAGAGGAGAGCGGAAUUCCCAGUGUAGCGGUGAAAUGCGUAGAUAUUGGGAGGAACACCGGUGGCGAAGGCGGCUCUCUGGACUAAUACUGACGCUGAGGCGCGAAAGCCAGGGGAGCGAACGGGAUUAGAUACCCCGGUAGUCCUGGCUGUAAACGAUGGACACUAGGUGUGGGAGGUAUCGAAUCCUUCUGUGCCGGAGCUAACGCAUUAAGUGUCCCGCCUGGGGAGUACGUUCGCAAGAAUGAAACUCAAAGGAAUUGACGGGGGCCCCACAAGCGGUGGAGCAUGUGGUUUAAUUCGAAGCAACGCGAAGAACCUUACCGGGGUUUGACAUAUACAUGACGGCACUAGAGAUAGUGUUUUCCCUUCGGGGACAGGUAUACAGGCGCUGCAUGGCUGUCGUCAGCUCGUGUCGUGAUAUGUUGGGUUAAGUCCCGCAACGAGCGCAACCCUCACCCUUAGUUGCCAACAGGUAAAGCUGGGAACUUUAAGGGAACUGCCGGUGAUAAACCGGAGGAGGGUGGAGAUGACGUCAAGUCCUCAU
rnacentral:rRNA from 1 species